rnacentral:rRNA from 1 species
UACGGAGGGGGCUAGCGUUGUUCGGAAUUACUGGGCGUAAAGCGCGCGUAGGCGGACCUGCAAGUCGGGGGUGAAAGCCCGAGGCUCAACCUCGGAACUGCCUUCGAUACUGCGGGUCUCGAGUCCGGGAGAGGUGAGUGGAAUUCCUAGUGUAGAGGUGAAAUUCGUAGAUAUUAGGAAGAACACCAGUGGCGAAGGCGGCUGCACUGGCCCGGUACUGACGCGUGAGGCGCGAAAGCGUGGGGAGCAAACAGG